UUGAUACACCGGUCCCCAUACGAUCACAGAAGUUAAGCAAUGUCAGGUUUGGUUAGAACCGCGAUUGGUGACCGCUUGGGAAUACCAGGUGCGGUAA